UGAAAGACGGUCUUGCUGUCACUUAUAGAUGGAUCCGCGCUGCAUUAGCUAGUUGGUAAGGUAACGGCUUACCAAGGCAACGAUGCAUAGCCGACCUGAGAGGGUGAUCGGCCACACUGGAACUGAGACACGGUCCAGACUCCUACGGGAGGCAGCAGUAGGGAAUCUUCCGCAAUGGGCGAAAGCCUGACGGAGCAACGCCGCGUGAGUGAUGAAGGUCUUCGGAUCGUAAAACUCUGUUAUUAGGGAAGAACAUAUGUGUAAGUAACUGUGCACAUCUUGACGGUACCUAAUCAGAAAGCCACGGCUAACUACGUGCCAGCAGCCGCGGUAAUACGUAGGUGGCAAGCGUUAUCCGGAAUUAUUGGGCGUAAAGCGCGCGUAGGCGGUUUUUUAAGUCUGAUGUGAAAGCCCACGGCUCAACCGUGGAGGGUCAUUGGAAACUGGAAAACUUGAGUGCAGAAGAGGAAAGUGGAAUUCCAUGUGUAGCGGUGAAAUGCGCAGAGAUAUGGAGGAACACCAGUGGCGAAGGCGACUUUCUGGUCUGUAACUGACGCUGAUGUGCGAAAGCGUGGGGAUCAAACAGGAUUAGAUACCCUGGUAGUCCACGCCGUAAA
rnacentral:rRNA from 1 species